CCUACGGGAGGCAGCAGUGAGGAAUAUUGGUCAAUGGGCGGGAGCCUGAACCAGCCAAGUCGCGUGAGGGAAGACGGUCCUAUGGAUUGUAAACCUCUUUAGGCGGGGAGCAAUGCCGGGCACGCGUGCCCGGAGGGAGAGUACCCGCAGAAUAAGCAUCGGCUAACUCCGUGCCAGCAGCCGCGGUAAUACGGAGGAUGCGAGCGUUAUCCGGAUUUAUUGGGUUUAAAGGGUGCGUAGGCGGAUUUUUAAGUCAGCGGUAAAAUGUCCGGGCUCAACCCGGGCCGGCCGUUGAAAGUGGGGAUCGUGCGUGGGCGAGAAGUAUGCGGAAGGCGUGGUGGAGCGGUGAAAUGCAUAGAUAUCACGCAGAACUCCGAUUGCGAAGGCAGCAUACCGGCGCCCGACUGACGCUGAGGCACGAAAGCGUGGGGAUCGAACAGGAUUAGAUGCCCGAGUAGUC
rnacentral:rRNA from 1 species